rnacentral:rRNA from 1 species
GACAGAGGUGCCGAGCGUUAGGCGGAAUCACUGGGCUUAAAGCGUGUGUAGGAGGAUCGUUAAGUACCUUGUGAAAUCCCACGGCUCAACCGUGGAACUGCUGGGUAUACUGGCGGUCUUGAGCCACCUAGGGGCGAGCGGAACAAGCGGUGGAGCGGUGAAAUGCGUAGAUAUCGCUUGGAACGCCAACGGUGAAAACAGCUCGCUGGGGGUGUGCUGACGCUGAGACACGAAAGCCAGGGGAGCGAACGGG